rnacentral:tRNA from 1 species
GCGCCUAUAGCUCAGAGGAUAGAGCGACCGCCUCCUAAGCGGUAGGUCGCGCGUUCGACUCGCGCUAGGCGCG